UCCACAAGGAGAUAUAAGAAGCUUCAGAGUUAAAAUGUAAACUCUCUAAUAUUGUCUUUGCUAUGUAAUUAAACAGAAAUGCCAUUUAAAGGGACAGUAUUUUGUAUUUUCCAAGCAUACAGUGCCAUUUUAUAGAAUAAUCAAGUAACUUGGUAUGUUACCUUUAGUUGUUGUAAAAAUGUUUACAUAUCAUGAAUAACUUGGAAGAAAUUUGACAUCAUAAUUUCACACCUUGAAAUUGGUGUUUGUCUCUUUAAGACUGGCUGCAGGAGAUCCAAGGAUUCCAAUCAAAGCAACACAGCAGCACUUCAUCAGAGGAAGAGGGGACCGUCUCAUCUCACACACGUACCUAAUUCCCUGAUACCACCAAUGGAUGUCAUCAGAACUGGGCCCUUUAAAAUACUAUGCACAGUAGUCAGACCAGACUUUAGCAGACUUUUCCCUGGGCUUCUGACAGGGCAGGCACUCAGAAAAUUUUCAUAUCUUUUUAUUCCAAGUACCAGACUCACGUCAUCAUUGAGACUUUGAAAAAUCAUAACACAGCAUUAUUUCCAUUUGGGACAAUCCAGCGUUCACCGUUUGGGCACACAUUAGGGAUGGGUAGCAGUUGAAGAACACCCAAGCAAGUGUCCUGUGUGUCCCACAUGAGCGUCCAGCAGCAUGCACCAGACUGAGGCCGUCCACAGCCUCAGGCGCUGUGUUGACUGGGCCUGCCAUGUCAUUAACAGUCGCCUUGUUCUGCUCUAUCUUAUUAAAGCCAUUCCUUCAGGAGGGCAGACGAGCAUGUCACAGUGUGAAACCAGGCCAAGGAGGGAAGGUGACCAUGCUGCCACCCUGGGUUCUAGCGGGAGGGGCAGGAGGCUGUGUUGUCAGCCUCCUCCCGGACCCCCUGAUGGUCCCCGUGAUUCCCUUGUCAGUCUGUGUUAAUGGAAGUCACGGUGGUUGUGCUCCUUCGUAUCCUUAUCUCGUGUAGCAGCGGAGUCGAGCAACCCAGCAGUAUCUGAUCAGCCUAACCAGCUGCCACCGCUGCGCUGAAUGUUGUUGAUGUCUCUUGGGUUAGCGAGGAAAACCGCUGAACACGACUGGAUCUAGAACCGGAGAGUCUGGACCGAGCUCCACACGAUCCACUCAGCAUUCGGCCUGGUUGUGGGCAGCUAUUAGAGAUUAAACGCCUCUGACUGGUGAGCUCCAGGGAGAGAAACUGCUGGGGAACGGGCCCAGAGAAACUGGAAAGCCUGACAGCUUUUAGCUUUCGUCCUACUGCGACUAACUGACUGAAUGACUGGUGUGUGUGGCAUUUUUUUCCCUCUGAUCACCGCUCUGCUGCUGCCAACCAGUUUAUGUAAAAGUGAUUAGCAGUAAUUAAUCCUUAAUCACUAUGAUUAGCCAAGUCGCAGUAAAUUAAGCCACAUCUGGAGCAGCUGAGGGCUCCUGAAUAGCAGCAGGCGGGCUCACGGUGAGUGGAGCUGCUUAUGGAGACUACCUGGAACACCUGAGAGCAAAACCACUGGCAGCGCCUCAGCUGCCUGGUCGGGGUUUCACCUUCGACACGAGCCAACCAGGAAGCUGUAGCUUCAUACCAGCCAGCAGGAGACCCGCUAACUGUGUUUAGCUCAGGCACUGCAAGAUGGAAACGAUGGAGGACCAAAAAUUGACAUAAUAAAAAAUAAAAGCAGAAACAGAUUCCCCAAAUAAAUAAAUCAAUACACUUAAAAUGCACCAAAUAAUUUAAAAAAGUAAACUACACAUUAUUUUGUUCAUUUUGUAUAAAUAGAAUGCAAAUUAAGGCAGAAGAAACACUUUUCCAAAUACAUUCUCUUUAAUAUAAAGCUUAAUAAACAUACACUGUAAGUAAUGUAUAUGUAUGUUAGAUCAGGGUAAAGCACUUCCUGUGACAAUGUAUAGUACUCUGUAUGUUUCUUACCUUCACAUCUCAGCAGAUAGAAACUACGAUCAGAUCAACAAAGCUGGUGUUCAAACAAGAGGUCUCACUUCAACAUAAACUGCAGCUGUGUCUGUAUCAGGUUCAUUCUUGGUUACAAUAUAUUUGUUCUUGAUUUACUAAAGUUACUCCCAGUGGCUAGAAUAUUCAGAAAUUUUACUCAAGUAAGAGUAGAGAUGCUUCACAGUAACAAUACUCAUGUAAAAGAAAAAAAUACAGUGUAGUAAAGUUACUCCUAGAAUCAAUUUUUCCCCAAAACGUUAAAGUAAAUAUAACAGAGUAAAUGUAAUUAGUUACUACCCAGCUUUGCAUGUAACUGACUUUGAAUCUUCCAAAAUAAAUGAAUUGACAACAUUUUUCUGUAUGUAAACGUACUUAUUUUUAGAGCGCUGCAAGUCCUGAGCUGAAUAAAGAUACACUGACACAGCAGGAAAAUGCAACCAAAA